AGAGUUUGAUCCUGGCUCAGAUUGAACGCUGGCGGCGUGCUUAACACAUGCAAGUCGAACGUGAAAGUCCUUCGGGGCGAGUAAAGUGGCGCACGGGUGAGUAACGCGUGGAUAAUCUACCCUUAAGAUGGGGAUAACGGCUGGAAACGGUCGCUAAUACCGAAUACGCUCCCGAUUUUAUCAUUGGGGGGAAAGAUGGCCUCUGCUUGCAAGCUAUCGCUUAAGGAUGAGUCCGCGUCCCAUUAGCUAGUUGGCGGGGUAACGGCCCACCAAGGCAACGAUGGGUAGCCGGUCUGAGAGGAUGACCGGCCACACUGGAACUGGAACACGGUCCAGACUCCUACGGGAGGCAGCAGUGGGGAAUAUUGCGCAAUGGGCGAAAGCCUGACGCAGCGACGCCGCGUGAGGGAUGAAGGUUCUCGGAUCGUAAACCUCUGUCAGGGGGGAAGAAACCCCCUCGUGUGAAUAAUGCGAGGGCUUGACGGUACCCCCAAAGGAAGCACCGGCUAACUCCGUGCCAGCAGCCGCGGUAAUACGGAGGGUGCAAGCGUUAAUCGGAAUCACUGGGCGUAAAGCGCACGUAGGCGGCUUGGUAAGUCAGGGGUGAAAUCCCACAGCCCAACUGUGGAACUGCCUUUGAUACUGCCAGGCUUGAGUACCGGAGAGGGUGGCGGAAUUCCAGGUGUAGGAGUGAAAUCCGUAGAUAUCUGGAGGAACACCGGUGGCGAAGGCGGCCACCUGGACGGUAACUGACGCUGAGGUGCGAAAGCGUGGGUAGCAAACAGGAUUAGAUACCCUGGUAGUCCACGCUGUAAACGAUGGGUGCUGGGGUGCUGGGGAUGUAUGUCUCGGUGCCGUACUAACGCGAUAAGCACCCCGCCUGGGGAGUACGGUCGCAAGGCUGAAACUCAAAGAAUUGACGGGGGCCCGCACAAGCGGUGAGUAUGUGGUUUAUUCGAUGCAACGCGAGAACCUUACCC
rnacentral:rRNA from 1 species